UGUGUGUCAGUGUGUCUGUGAGUGUGUGAGUAUGUGUCAGUGUGAGUGUGUGAGUAUGUCAGUGUGAGUGUGUGUCUGAGUGUGUGAGUAUGUCAGUGUGAGUGUGUGUCUGUGAGUGUGUGAGUAUGUCAGUGUGAGUGUGUGUCUGAGUGUGUGAGUAUGUCAGUGUGAGUGUGUGUCUGUGAGUGUGUGAGUAUGUCAGUGUGAGUGUGUGAGUAUGUGUCAGUGUGAGUGUGUGUCUGUGAGUGUGUGAGUAUGUCU